rnacentral:rRNA from 1 species
AACGAACGCUGGCGGCACGCCUAACACAUGCAAGUCGAGCGCAGUCCUUCGGGACCGAGCGGCGGACGGGUUAGUAACGCGUGGGAACAUACCCAUUUCUACGGAAUAGCCAUUGGAAACGAUGAUUAAUACCGUAUACGCCCUUUGGGGGAAAGAUUUAUCGGUGAUGGAUUGGCCCGCGUUAGAUUAGAUAGUUGGUGAGGUAACGGCUCACCAAGUCAACGAUCUAUAGCUGGUUUGAGAGGAUGAUCAGCAACACUGGGACUGAGACACGGCCCAG